AAAACUUUUUCUAUUAAAUUUUAUCCAAAUUCGGUUUAGUUUUGAUUCGAUUUGUCUAAUUUUUCCUUUUUGUUGGUUUGAUUUAUCGAAAUGGAUCGAUUUGAUUCAUUUCGAGAUGCCAAUUGGGACCUAAUUGAUUUCAAUAGCUUUAUAGAUGAAGAAUCGCCGAUAGAUUUCUUUUGGAACGAUCAAACCCAGGAUUUGAGUGCUGUAGCAGAAGUCGAGGCACCUCUCAGCAGUGCUGCAUUACAGGAGUGCAUAGAAACAGAAUGCCCUCGGAAAAGAGGUCGUAAUGAGUCUUGCAGCAAACAAGGGAACAAAGCUUGCCGUGAGAGAUUAAGAAGGGAAAAAUUGAAUGAAAGGUUUUCAGACUUAUGCUCUGUUCUGGAACCCGGGAGACCUGUAAAAACAGACAAAAUGGCCAUACUUGGUGAUGCCAUUCGUGUUCUAAACCAGCUGAAGACUGAAUCUGAGGAAUACAAAGAGAUGAACCAAAAGCUUAUGGAAGAGAUUAAGACUUUGAAGGAAGAGAAG
rnacentral:misc_RNA from 1 species